rnacentral:lncRNA from 1 species
UGUGUUCCUAGUGUGCUUCUCUAGUGGGACUGUGGCCAUCUCUACCAUGAUGGCCACAGACCCUUCCAAUGACAUGUGCAAGGCCACACUGAAGGACCACACCUGCAAGCCAACAGAGUCUAGCAAGAACCAAGCUGCCUUCCGGUUUGACAUCACCAGCCGUGUUAUCUCAGUGAGGGCUGAUGCUGCUCUGCUACUACUCAGUUAAAGAAACAUUGGCCCAAGAGGACAGGCACAAGGAUGGGUGGAGGAAGAAAGGUGUUGUGCCACCAGGAGAUGGCACGGUGCAGGGCCUCGGAGGGAGCAGACAGACACUGGAGAUCCAGGCAAGAGUAGCUAAAGGUAAGGGUGUUCUGGAGUAGACUUUGGGGGACAAAGGGCAGAAGAAGAAAGUUGUCCAUGAGUUCACCAAGCCCUUCCUCUCUUAAGAUGAGUCAUUCAGUUUCACCAUGAGGAGAUGGUCAUUGUGAAUCAGCCAUAGUCAACACUCUUUGAGGUAGAACUGAUGAGCUUUGCAGAUGCCUCAGCAGAAUUACUCCUGGACAAGUGCUGGGUGUCAGAGUCACCAGAAUUUGAUGGCAGCCCCCAGUGGAAUGUCAUAAUAAGUAUGUAUCCUCAGCUAGCAGCUGAGAGGGCAGAACCAGAAC